rnacentral:rRNA from 1 species
CUGACUGCUAUCGGAUUGGUACUAAGCCAUGCGAGUCAUUGUAGCAAUACAAGGCAGACGGCUCAGUAACGCGUAGUCAAUCUACCCUAUGGACGGGAAUAACCUCGGGAAACUGAGAAUAAUGCCCGAUAGAACAUUAUGCCUGGAAUGGUUUAUGUUUCAAAUGAUUUAUCGCCAUAGGAUGGGACUGCGGCCUAUCAGUUUGUUGGUGAGGUAAUGGCCCACCAAGACUAUUACAGGUACGGGCUCUGAGAGGAGUAGCCCGGAGAUGGGUACUGAGACACGGACCCAGGCCCUAUGGGGCGCAGCAGGCGAGAAAACUUUGCAAUGUGCGAAAGCACGACAAGGUUAAUCCGAGUGGUUUCUGCUAAAGAAACCUUUUGUCAGUCCUAGAAACACUAACGAAUAAGGGGUGGGCAAGUUCUGGUGUCAGCCGCCGCGGUAAAACCAGCACCUCAAGUGGUCAGGAUGAUUAUUGGGCCUAAAGCAUCCGUAGCUCGUUUUGUAAGUUUUCGGUUAAAUCCAUGCGCUUAACGUAUGGGCUGCCGGGAAUACUGCAUAACUAGGAAGUGGGAGAGGUAGACGGUACUCGGGAGGAAGGGGUAAAAUCCUUUGAUCUCUUGAUGACCACCUGUGGCGAAGGCGGUCUACCAGAACACGUUCGACGGUGAGGGAUGAAAGCUGGGGGAGCAAACCGGAUUAGAUACCCGGGUAGUCCCAGCUGUAAACUAUGCAAACUCAGUGAUGCAUUGGCUUAUGGCCAAUGCAGUGCUGCAGGGAAGCCGUUAAGUUUGCCGCCUGGGAAGUACGUACGCAAGUAUGAAACUUAAAGGAAUUGGCGGGGGAGCACCACAAGGGGUGAAGCCUGCGGUUCAAUUGGAGUCAACGCC